GCCAGGUAUGGUGGUGUGUGCCUGUAGUCCCAGCUACUUGGGAGGCUGAGGCAGGAGGAUUGCCUGGGCCCAGGAGUGUGAGGUUGCAGUGAGCUGUGACUGUGCCACUGCACUCCAACCUGGGCAACAGAGCAAGACCCUGUCUCCA
ensembl:misc_RNA Metazoa_SRP Metazoan signal recognition particle RNA